rnacentral:rRNA from 1 species
GUGCCAGCCGCCGCGGUAAUACGUAGGUGGCAAGCGUUGUCCGGAUUUACUGGGCGUAAAGCGUGUGUAGGCGUACCUUUAAGUAGAAAGUGAAAGGUGGGAGCUCAACUCCUACAUUGCUCUCUAUACUGGAGGUCUUGAGUGUCGGAGAGGAAGAUGGAACUGCACGUGUAGCGGUGAAAUGCGUUGAGAUGUGCAGGAACACCAAUGGCGAAGGCAAUCUUCUGGACGAAAACUGACGCUGAGACACGAAAGCUAGGGGAGCAAACGGGAUUAGAUACCCUGGUAGUCC